rnacentral:lncRNA from 1 species
UAUGCUCUUCAGUUGCGGAACUCUUUUCAGAAGUCCCUUCCCAUCUGUCCUGGUUGUGACCAAGACAAAUAUAUUGGUCAGCUGCUAGACAAUGCUGAUAGCGGCACGAAUGAUGAUGAUGAUCCCUUUCCCGAGCCCCUUGUUCUCUCCAUUGCCCUAUGUUCAAUGCCAAGUGCCCUUCGCUUAUUCUGGGAUAAUGACACUAUCUGUAUUGUUAUGAACGAGUGGGUUCUCGUACGUGCCUACCAGUUACCUAAGGCAUUGGAGAUCUUGGAGAUUGAACUUGGCUUGGUGUAUGAUUAUAUCUACACUAAGGCCGUGGUGUUUCAGACAAGACGUGGCAUUGCACUUCGAUGUAUCUCACAGGCAUCCUUUCUAGCCGUUUUUCUGCUCUUCCUUGUAAGCAAUAUACAGAGGCACAAUUCAAUUAACACUGUAAUCACAUAUGCACUGUUUGUCGGUGAUUUUGCGAUUAGAAGAAGGGUGUGGUGGUCGAAUUCCAUGGGGCAGUACAAACAGCGUAACCAUUUGGCAAAGUAUGAUGAAGAAGAGAAGCGAUCAAGAAGCUGGUCAUGGAAACGAGGAGUAGUGGGGGGCAAGAUCAGAAAGGUUGUGGAUGCUGUUUGUGGGGAGAAGGUGAAGUUUUGGAUUAGUAAGCAGUUGGACAUCAAUUUUGCCAAGGUGGAUAAGGAGAUCAUACGGUGCAUCUUCAACAAGGUUGUCGAGUGUGCUGCUGAGGCUCAUCAAAGCCAAAAUAGUUUGCCGGCCCAGGAAUGGUCAAAUCUUAGUGUGCUGCUGAAAAAUCUCUUGGAGACUCCUGAUGGCACUCUUAGUUGGGAAACCAUCGUAGUGUUGCAUGUAUACACAAAGGUACAGCUGAAGUUGUUUUCCCAUGCGAGUCCCAGUGAAUCGACCAGUGCGGCUUUGGUGGAAUUGGUGCACAAGCUAUCCAACUACAUGCUUUACCUUUUGGCCACGCAGCACGAGAUGUUGCCGGUCAGUAAAAGCACUAGUGAAAGCAAUAGGGGAGUCGGAAGCCACUUUGCUAAGAUCGAUAUUGAAGCAGCUGAGACCGAGAUGCUGACAAACACGGGAGUGCAACUUCUCGGGUCCUGCACAAAAGAACAACUGCUGGAGACCAAGCAGGCGUGGCUAAGGCUCCUCAUCUUCUUCGCUGGGAAGUCGCGGCCAGAGAUGCACACGGCGCAGCUGGCCGCAGGAGGCGAGCUCCUUACCUUUGUCUGGUUGUUCAUGGCCUUCAAAGAUAUCGGGGCUUCCGUCAUCUCCCGGAUCGAGAUAAGUGAUCUCCGAGUUCAUAUCCCUAGGCCUAGUUUAGUACUCUUCCGUCUCGGUCCCACUCUACACCAACCAGCAGCAGAUCACACGGCCGACAACAGUAGUGAUCAGCUCAAGGAAGAAGAAGGGCAUCAUCAAAAUGAAAUCUCUCAUGCUUACACUAUAGUGGCCCGCUAA